AUUGUCUGAGGCCAGUUUCACACGGGCUGCCACUUGCACUCUGCAUGCACAGCACUUCCCAGAGCUCUGUGUCAAGAUGGAUUUAUAAUGGGAUUCAUAAUGAUGAAAAUCUUGAUUGAUUAACAUGAACGGGCAAUUAAGAUGAGCACUCAACCCGCUGCACCUUGGUCCAUGACGUACGACGACCGUUACAGUGACAGACCAACAACUUUAAUGAGAGAUGUGGUGAUAGACUACUAGAGCCUGAGAAAUCCCCCAAGAGAGAACUCCAAGCUAACCAGACAAAACAACAGUGAAACUCCAACAUGUCACUGAGAGGGCCAAAGAAAUGUAUGAAACUCAAGAUGUGCUACAAACUGUCAGUUGCCAAGCAAGUGUCUGGGACAUGGCAGCCAAUGGGAGACUGCAUGAACAACUCCCCUUAACCA
rnacentral:lncRNA from 1 species